rnacentral:sRNA from 1 species
GCAACAGAUGAGCAGAAUAUCUGCUCUAGUCAAACUACUUGAUAAGUUCAGAGAUCAAGUAAGAUCAAUCAAAAAGCCUGUCAUCUUGACUGACUCUAUCAACUACUCAAUGUGGAAAGAAGAGAUUCUUCUCACAGUGAGGUAAUCUCAAACACACAAUAUUCUGGAAGAGAAGCAAACUGGCUCAAAGGAAAAUGUCAGUAAUGACAUGCAACACUUUUGGAAUGAGCACAACAUGUGGUUAUAUAACUACAUAUGGUUUUCAAUUACCUCUCAGGCAAAAUCCCAUUUCACUAUACUCAGAGACUCUGAAUUAUCUGCUUAUGCUCUAUGGCAAAUCAUAGAGGAUAAUUUUACUGAAAGAUCUGAUGUACAAAGAAUCAGAUUGUACAAGAAGAUGACAGAUAUGACAGCCA